rnacentral:lncRNA from 1 species
AUGCUGGAGCCUUACAAUCCUUCCUGCUUUGAGAUGUUACAGAUGGUACCCGGCUCUGCUCCCAAGCCCAGAGACAUUUCUGCACCUCCACAUGCCACAGAGAGACCCAAAACCCUGACCAGAAUCCCAGUCUGCCCAGCAGUUUGUCAUCUGUUUGGUGUUAGAGACCCACAGGGAAGGACAGGCACAAUCAGUUCCUUCCAUCAGAAGUGGCACUGGACCAAAUGUCCUCACACUGGAAAGACCCUGGAGAGUAUUUGUCACCUGCUUUGGACCUGUGGCACCAGACUUGGAUAUGGAAAGACGGCACGGAGCUGGACAGGUGACACUGAGCCGUGCCUCUUCUGUCUCUCACUUUAAAUAGGGGAAGCCUCUGAGAUGGGCUCCGGCAGUGGCCUCUCAUGGGAGUGGAGCUGCUCGCCCCCGGAUGCAGAAGGUUUCCCCUGCCCUGGGUGGCAGUGGCCAGCCUGCCCGUUAUGCUGGGCAGGGGUGACUUCUCCAGGGGUGACAGGUCCUGGCUUUAUUCCUUCCUCAACCUCAGAUGGGGAAGGAGGAGACAGGGCCUAGCAAGCAAAGAAAU